rnacentral:rRNA from 1 species
UACGGAAGAUCCAAGCGUUAUCCGGAAUUACUGGGCGUAAAGAGUUGCGUAGGUGGCAUUGUAAGCGGGGCAUGAAAGCGUGUGGCUCAACCAUACAGACAUGUUCUGAACUGCAAAGCUAGAGAGCGAGAGAGGUUACUAGAAUUCCUAGUGUAGGAGUGAAAUCCGUAGAUAUUAGGAGGAAUACCGAUGGCGUAGGCAGGUAACUGGCUCGUCUCUGACACUAAGGCACGAAAGCGUGGGUAGCAAACGGG